AGAGUUUGAUCCUGGCUCAGGAUGAACGCUAGCUACAGGCUUAACACAUGCAAGUCGCGGGGCAGCAUAUAGACAGCUUGCUAUUUAUGAUGGCGACCGGCGCACGGGUGAGAAACGCGUAUCCAACCUUCCCCAUAGUAGGGUAUAGCCCGGCGAAAGUCGGAUUAAUCCCCUAUGUUGUUUGAAGCGGACAUCUAAUUCAAACCAAAGAUUCAUCGCUAUGGGAUGGGGAUGCGUCUGAUUAGGUUGCAGGCGGGGUAACGGCCCACCUGGCCGACGAUCAGUAGGGGUUCUGAGAGGAAGGUCCCCCACACUGGUACUGAGACACGGACCAGACUCCUACGGGAGGCAGCAGUGAGGAAUAUUGGUCAAUGGGCGGGAGCCUGAACCAGCCAAGUAGCGUGCAGGAUGACGGCCCUACGGGUUGUAAACUGCUUUUAUGCGGGGAUAAAGUGCGGCACGUGUGCCGUUUUGCAGGUACCGCAUGAAUAAGGACCGGCUAAUUCCGUGCCAGCAGCCGCGGUAAUACGGAAGGUCCGGGCGUUAUCCGGAUUUAUUGGGUUUAAAGGGAGCGCAGGCGGAGAGCUAAGCGUGACGUGAAAUGUAGCCGCCCAACGGCUGACGUGCGUCGCGAACUGGUUUUCUUGAGUGGGUACGACGUCGGCGGAACUCGUGGUGUAGCGGUGAAAUGCUUAGAUAUCACGAGGAACCCCGAUUGCGAAGGCAGCCGACGAGUCCCUUACUGACGCUAAAGCUCGAAGGUGCGGGUAUCGAACAGGAUUAGAUACCCUGGUAGUCCGCACGGUAAACGA
rnacentral:rRNA from 1 species